GUGAAUCAUGGUAUCAUGGCCCAACCAUGAGUAUAAUGGUGGUUUAUAACCCUACCACGGGGGUGAAACAUAGUAUAUGGCCUAGCCACGGAUAUAGUGAUGGUUUAUAAUCCUACCAUGGGGGUAAAACAU